rnacentral:rRNA from 1 species
GAUGAACGCUAGCGGGAGGCCUAACACAUGCAAGCCGAGCGGUAGAGUCUCUUCGGAGACUUGAGAGCGGCGCACGGGUGCGGAACACGUGUGCAACCUGCCUUUAUCUGGGGGAUAGCCUUUCGAAAGGAAGAUUAAUACCCCAUAAUAUACUGGAUGGCAUCAUCUGGUAUUGAAAACUCCGGUGGAUAGAGAUGGGCACGCGCAAGAUUAGAUAGUUGGUGAGGUAACGGCUCACCAAGUCAGCGAUCUUUAGGGGGCCUGAGAGGGUGAUCCCCCACACUGGUACUGAGACACGGACCAGACUCCUACGGGAGGCAGCAGUGAGGAAUAUUGGACAAUGGGUGAGAGCCUGAUCCAGCCAUCCCGCGUGAAGGACGACGGCCCUAUGGGUUGUAAACUUCUUUUGUAUAGGGAUAAACCUAGAUACGUGUAUCCAGCUGAAGGUACUAUACGAAUAAGCACCGGCUAACUCCGUG